rnacentral:lncRNA from 1 species
GUAGUUCUAAAGAGAAAAAGAGAGUUCAGUGAUAAAAAGAUCAGAAAAACCAAGGAAAAUAAGAAGCUGCAUAAAUUUUACUUUUCCAUCUUCAGUGAUUUUUGAACUAAUUCUGUCAUAUCUGAGCAUGAAAAUGGCUUGAAGUUGGUUGCAACAACAUUUCAAAAUCUGCUGGAUUAAUUGAACUAGACUGUUGUAUAUUGUUGCUUGACUGAAGUUGAUCUUACUGGUUGUAUUGCUAUCUAUCUACUACUGAAUCUACUCUUCAAUUGCUGAGUUUUGUAAUUAUUUGGGUUGUAUCCAGGUACACACUCCUGAAACCCAUACAAUGUGAUACCUGAUUGGAGUUUGAGAAAGGAAGGUGUAGGUUCAAAAUGUUUGGAUGUUGG